CGCAGCCGCGGUAAUUCCAGCUCCAAUAGCGUAUAUUAAAGUUGUUGCAGUUAAAAAGCUCGUAGUUGAAUUUUGGGAUCAAUAUGCCGGUCAUGCCUUGGUAUGCACUGGUAUCUUUGAUUUCUCCCUUCUGACGAACUUUGAUGUCAUUAAUUUGGCGUCAUAGGGAAUCGGGACUGUUACUUUGAAAAAAUUAGAGUGUUUAAAGCAGGCUCACGCUUGAAUACAUUAGCAUGGAAUAAUGAAAUAGGACGUUUGGUUCUAUUUUGUUGGUUUCUAGGAUCGACGUAAUGAUUAAUAGGGAUAGUUGGGGGCAUUAGUAUUCAAUUGUCAGAGGUGAAAUUCUUGGAUUUAUUGAAGACUAACUACUGCGAAAGCAUUUGCCAAGGAUGUUUUCAUUAAUCAAGAACGAAAGUUAGGGGAUCGAAGACGAUCAGAUACCGUCGUAGUCUUAACCAUAAACUAUGCCGACUAGGGAUCGGAUGAUGUUAAUUUUUAAUGACUCAUUC
rnacentral:rRNA from 1 species